AAGUUAGUGGCGGACGGGUGAGUAACGCGUGGGUAACCUGCCUCACACUGGGGGAUAACAGUUAGAAAUGACUGCUAAUACCGCAUAAGUGCACAGGACCGCAUGGUCCAGUGUAAAAAACUCCGGUGGUGUGAGAUGGACCCGCGUCUGAUUAGCUAGUUGGUGGGGUAACGGCCUACCAAGGCGACGAUCAGUAGCCGGCCUGAGGGGGUGAACGGCCACAUUGGGACUGAGACUACGGCCCAAACUCCUGCGGGAGGCAGCAGUGGGGAAUAUUGCACAAUGGGGGAAACCCUGAUGCAGCAAUGCCGCGUGAGUGAAGAAGUAUUUCGGUAUGUAAAGCUCUAUCAGCAGGGAAGAAAAUGACGGUACCUGACUAAGAAGCUCCGGCUAAAUACGUG
rnacentral:rRNA from 1 species